rnacentral:rRNA from 1 species
AUUGAACGCUGGCGGCAGGCCUAACACAUGCAAGUCGAGCGAGCGGCGGACGGGUGAGUAAUGUCUGGGAAACUGCCUGAUGGAGGGGGAUAACUACUGGAAACGGUAGCUAAUACCGCAUACCAUCAGAUGUGCCCAGCUGGGAUUAGCUAGUAGGUGGGGUAACGGCUCACCAAGGCGACGAUCUGUAGCGGGUCUGAGAGGAUGACCCGCCACAAUGGGACUGAGACACGGCCCAGACUCCUACGGGAGGCAGGAGGGGGGAAAAGUGGACAAUGGGGGGAAACCUGAACCAACCAUGCCGGGUGUGUGAAGAAGGCCUUAUGGUUGUAAAGCACUUUAAGCGGGGAGGCGUUACUCGCAGAAUAAGCACCGGCUAACUCUGUGCCAGCAGCCGCGGUAAUAC